rnacentral:rRNA from 1 species
GAUGAACGCUAGCGGGAGGCCUAACACAUGCAAGCCGAGCGGUAUUGUUUCUUCGGAAAUGAGAGAGCGGCGUACGGGUGCGUAACACGUGUGCAACCUGCCUUUAUCUGGGGGAUAGCCUUUCGAAAGGAAGAUUAAUACUCCAUAAUAUAUUUAACGGCAUCGUUUAAUAUUGAAAGCUCCGGCGGAUAGAGAUGGGCACGCGCAAGAUUAGCUAGUUGGUGAGGUAACGGCUCACCAAGGCGAUGAUCUUUAGGGGGCCUGAGAGGGUGAUCCCCCACAAUGGUACUGAGACACGGACCAGACUCCUACGGGAGGCAGCAGUGAGGAAUAUUGGUCAAUGGGUGCAAGCCUGAACCAGCCAUCCCGCGUGAAGGACGACUGCCCUAUGGGUUGUAAACUUCUUUUGUAUAGGGAUAAACCUACCCUCGUGAGGGUAGCUGAAGGUACUAUACGAAUAAGCACCGGCUAACUCCGUG